GACGAACGCUGGCGGCGUGCUUAACACAUGCAAGUCGAACGGAAAGGCCCUGCUUUUGUGCGGUUCCCGAUGGGCGAACGGGUGAGUAACACGUGAGUAACCUGCCCUUGACUUUGGGAUAACUUCAGGUAACUGGGGCUAAUCUCAGAUAGCAGCUCAUGCUGCAUGGUGGGCGUUGGAAAGUUUCGGCGGUUGGGGAUGGACUCGCGGCUGAUCAGCUUGUUGGUUGGGUAGUGGCUUACCAAGGGUUAGACGGGUAGCCGGCCCGGGAGGGUGGCCGGGCACAAUGGGCCUACGAGAGGGCCCAGAGUCGAACGGUAGGCAACAGUGGGAAACAUGACACAGUGGUCGGGAGCCUGAUGCGGCAACGCCGCGUGCGUAAAGCCGGUCUUCUGGUUAAAAACCGCUUUCGCCUGUUACGAAGCGUGAGUGACGGUAAUGAGUAAAGAAGCACCGGCUAACUACGUG
rnacentral:rRNA from 1 species